UACAGAGGGCGCGAGCGUUUGUCCGGAAUCACUGGGCGUAAAGGGCGCGUAGGCGGCCACCGCAAGUCGACUGUGAAAUCUCCGGGCUUAACCCGGAAAGGUCAGCCGAUACUGCGGGGCUAGAGUGCAGAAGGGGCAACUGGAAUUCCUGGUGUAGCGGUGAAAUGCGCAGAUAUCAGGAGGAACACCGAUGGCGAAGGCGGGUAGCUGGGCCGACACUGACGCUGAUGCGCGAAAGCCAGGGGGAGCGAACGGG
rnacentral:rRNA from 1 species